rnacentral:lncRNA from 1 species
GGGGUAGAGCGUCUGCGAGUAGUAGCUAUGGAGUCGCAAGGUCGAUGCGGACCUCACGCGCACCUGGCGCGGGCUCAGACCUCGCCAGCGAUGGCCGGGGUUGCGGCAGAGCCACCACGCGCGAGGAAGGAGGAGCUGACAGGUGGGGUUACCCCGUCUGCGACCUACAGAGGGGAGAGGGGGCGGGUUUCAGCGCGUGGGCCGUCUUGGGCCAAAGCCGAGCGGGCCGGCCGCGUACCACAGUGUGUUUUCUUUUUUUUCUUUUUGUUUAAAAAUGCUUGAUGUUUGAAUUUGAAUAGAAAAUCAUGUACUGAUCCAAAAAUGAUGAAACUUUUUGUGUAGGUUCUAUAAAAUGAAUAGAACAUAGGAAAAUUACUAGGUUCUAUUUUCUGGUAGUUUGCAUGUGUAUAAAAAUUGCCUCUUCUAAUUAGAAAUAAAACUUCUAUGAAUUUUAAUAAUUCAUUAAUAUGUCCAAAAAUCACCAAAAUUUGUGGGGAGUCUCUGAAUAUUAUUCCCUGGCUUCACACAAAAUUUGGUGGCAUUUGGAUAAUGUUUGAAUAAAAUAUUAUUAAACCCUUAAUUAGUAAUUAAAUAAUCAUUCUAGAAUAAUUAAAUAAUAAUUAGUUAAAUUCUCAAAAAUUAGGAUUUGAGUGAUUUUGGGAUUGUGUGAUGACCUGAGGUCAUUAACCUUAAUGACCUUUGGCAUUUAAUUAUUGUUUGGCCUUAAUGCUUAAUUACUGUCAUUAAUGCUUAAUUAAGAAUUAAUUAAGGUAAAAAGGAUUAAUAAUUAGUUAAUUUAGGAUAAUUAUGAAUUAAGAGAAAUCUUAAUUUACAGUUGCAACCUCUUGGGUAAAGACACUAAGGUGAUGAACAACUUUAAUUAUUGCUUAGCCCGUGAUGCACCGAGAAGGACAGUUGUGCUUAAUUUGGUCCUUCUUACAUAUCUGUCAUUCGCAUAUCAUGAGCUUCCAUCAUUUUGCAUAUAGUGCCCGUGACCGAAGGAGCGACAGUUGAACCGAACCCCGAGGUCGGUGCUCCGUUCGAGGAAGUAGGAUCCGAGACUUGGGAAGUCUCUGAGGGUCUCUCUCAGCUCUGCAACCAAGGCAAGCCCCAGAUGCAUUAACCCCUCCUUGAAUGUUUUAAAUCUUUUAUCACUUAUGAAUUGAAAAUGCUGCAUUAGGUAGUCGAGAAUUGGGUUAACCUACUUGCUGCAUUUACUACCUUGAUAUUUGUUAUCUUGUCCUUUGCACCUGUUUUAAUUCAAAAUCGUGUAGUAAUGCUUAGCCCUGCUACUAGAUAGGUUCUCAAACAAAGUUUGAAGGGUUGUUGUGGAAUACACCUAUGAUCAAUAAUGUGUCAAUUUGAGACCGGUCGGUGGACUUGCUUUAAGAAUGGAGUCUUAAAGUAGUGUCUCCAACUGUGUCGGUUAAGGACCGGUCCGUUGGUGGCCUGAUGGGUUGAGAAUUGAUAGUACUAGCCACUGACCCUCAUCGUAGUUAAAUAUGCAACUAAGUGAUAAAAUGAGGAAGGGGAAAAUGUCUCAUGAGGUUCGGAUCCCAAUUCCCGGACUCAGAGUGACAUGA